rnacentral:lncRNA from 10 species
GACCAUUUCAUUAAGUUUUUAAGUGCCUGGUAAUUGCUUGGUUAUGACCGGUGUCUGCUCCAUGGCAGCCUCUUCCUGGGACCAGAUCUGAACAGUCUGGAGAGAGGAGCUGUGGUGGCAGCAGACAGAUCUCUGCUUCAGGGGCCAGGUGUCUAGAAGAAAUGCUGAGGCAGUGUCACGCUGGUGUCUGUCCUCCUUACAGAAUGCCUGAACAGUUCCAUUGACUCAAAGUGAAGAUCAAAAGAACCAAAUGACAGCAAUAGCCAAGUGUAAUCAUCAGUAACCCUGUGUUCUAUCCACAGGUGGGUCCACUAGAUGCUGUGGCUCAUGACAGAUCUUCAGAUGUUUGGUGAGGACCCACACAGGCACCUGAUCAUCACCUGGAGAGACACAAACAAAUCCUCUUCCUCAUAUUAAAGAAUGGAAUUCUUGUGCAUCAGCAAAGACCACAGACACCAAUGCAUCUGCCCUUUAAGUUUAAAGGACCAAAGAGUCCUAUUGGAGAAAAAAGAAAAAGCAUUUUUAUCCUUACCUUCCCCCGCUCUAUUCCUUUUAUAUUUGCCCUUUGAGCCAUAGCUAAUUUCCAUAAUUCAGAAU